CCUUUGUCUGGGAUGGCUCAGUUGGUAGAGCAGGCGCACAUAUGCAGAGGUUUAUUCCUUGACGCAGAAGGUCUAGGGUUCAAAUCCAAUCUUGCAGGUUUUCCUGCAUGUCUUUCACUCUCUCUCCUUUCAUAUCUCAGCCUUCCUAUCC